GUCCAAUGUACGUUACCUCCAUUGUUCUUACCUGUGUCUCCGUUAUCAUACUGCUCAUCAACCUAGGGAUUGGUGUGUUUAUGACAAGAUUUGGACAUCUUCCAUUUAUGAAACGACGGAUGAACAGCACCAAUACGUCCCCCAAACCGUUCGCCAGCAUCGAGGAUUCCGAACACGCAAUGGCAGGAAUAACAUCUGAUCAGGAACG